UGACAAGAUAUCUUCACGAAAUUUGACAUGGUUUAUUGGCUAAGGCAACUAUAAUUCGCCAUUUUGUUUUAGAUCGGACUACUAUUGCAUAUAGCUGUCAUAUUUUGGAAAACUUUUUUUAUUUGUUAAGGGUAUUAUAUUAUAGCUUUAGUGUAAACGAAGUUCACGUUUUUUGUUGUUCAUUUUUCUUCAAUUAUUGACUGCGGCUUGACAGCCGACAGAAGCUAUCGUUAACAGGUCACAAUUUAUCGAUUGUUGAACUUUAGUUGGCAAGAGACAGUGGUAAAAUCAAAACAGCAAAUGCGCGCAACACUCACGGGCUAACAUAUGCCCGUGAGCCUACCAAACUGUUGGUUGUUUGCUGGAUCCCAAGCGCAUACUUUGCAGUCAUUAGCGUGCAAAAUUGCAAAAAAAGAACAACAAACAUUGCGUUCAAUCAUGAUUCCAGCGCCUGUGGCCCACGAAUAAUAUACAACUGCGAAUAGGUACAUAAGCACGCGAUGGGGGCAUUGAACUGCGACAGAAUCAUAUUAACGCGCGCCACUUGCCAGCAUCGGCGAGAAUAUGCUAAUGAAUCAAGUAAUGGAAGGCGACGAAGUCGGCCAAAACAACAAAACCAGCAUAAUAAGUGCUGUAGCUGCAGAAUAUAGAAGCGGCACAAAUAAUAACAUAAAAAACAAAAUAGAAAAGAGCAAAUGUAGGAGCAACUGACGUGUCACAUUUACUUUUGAGGGAAUGAAGAGCGCAUGCACAAGCCACAAAUAAAGCCGCACUUUAACUUCGCGCUGCAUUAAGGAGUGCCUACCACAAUUAGCGACAGUGCCGUACAAAUUUUAUUUGUUCCUACCUAUCUACUGGUAGGUAGCCAAGCGAAAUAUUGCGCCAAAUUUCGGCGAAAAACCACAAAAUUGAAUAAAAACAGCACAGUAGCCAAACAAUAUGACGACCACAACAAAAAGCGUUGCCUAACAACGUAAACUUUGGCGCUCCCCGAAUUUCAGCAUUAUUUCUACUCUACUUUGCAUUUUGGAAAAUGCAGGCCGCCACUAAGGUUGACAGACCCGCAAGUGUUUUGCAUUUAAAAACGCCAUGCCGCACCUCCCUAGGGAGCUGCAUUGUUUGCUACAGCUGCCCAAUGCUUCCACGUGUUCCGUUUCCGUUGUUUCGGGCAUGAGUUUACACUGGCGCUGCUUUCGCUGCUGCUGGCCGUCACUGACAUUGUACAUUCUUUAUUGCUUUUUAAUUUUUUUUUCAGCGCAGUUGCUUUGCUUUAUUUAUAAUUUUUUCAAAUUGUUAUUAUUGCAAUGAAACGUUUCUUAAAGGUUAAUAUCUAUAUGCAAUUAAGUGCAUUUUUGGGAAAACAUUCAUAAGUCUACUAAACGAAAUAACAAAAGUCGAUGUCUUACCUCAAAUUAUUUGCAUAUCUCUUCUCGAAAUUCUUCAAACAAUCUGUUAGGUACGCCUCCUAAAAGAUGUGACACACGCUGCAAAAACACUGUUUUGCGCCGGCACCUUGAAUGCACAACCUGCAAAUCGCCCACACCGAAAAUCAUCUAUCAUUUGUGGCUACCCACCGCCACCUGCGGGGGGGAUUGUUUUGGUUUCAAUUUCCAAUUGCCCGACGCAACAAUUUAAUAUGAAACCCCAUAAACACACCAAAAACUCAAAACAAAUCACUAAAAACCGUAUAAAAAAAAAACAAAAUUGCACUUAAAUUUCCUUUAUUUGCUAAAUAUGAUGCACUCGAAAUUUGUUGCACAUACACACACUCACGCGGGGCGCUUCUUCACCCACCACAUGCAAAGUGAAAUUUCACUUGUUCACUUACGGAAAAGCGCAAUUGGUACGUGAUUUUUAUGUAAAUUAUACUAAAAACUUUACGCGAUGGAUGCUCUUUCUAUUCUGGGAGCUAUCUACUUUGACCACACGCUAUGUUUUGGUGGAAAUUCUGUUUACGACUGGUGGAGCUGCACCGCCAAGGAAAAAUCAACAACCGACUACUGACUAAUAAGAAAUUUGACAGAAGACUGACCGCCUCGGAACAUUUGUUUUUCCAAUUCCAAUUGGUGGAUUUCGCAUACAUAUGGUGUUGCCAGCACUCCUACUAAAAAAAUUCUCUUAACUUGCAAUAUGUCUUGUUCUUUAGAAAUUUAUUUUUACUUAAAUUAAUGCUUGUCAAAUUGCAAAAAGUUUCAAUAAAAUAAUGUUUUAAUUGUAUGCCACAUUUACUAUGUUUCUAAUAAAUAAAGUGCUUUGAAAUAUCUGGCUAUAAAAUUAUAGCAGGGUGUUGUAGAAGAUAAUUUUUUAAGUAAAUUAUCCGAAGUACAGAGUGACUAGUAGUAAUGUUUUGUUUAAUACUUGUUAGCUCAUAUGUUGGUUUAUUAGGGUGUGAAUCUGAAUGUAAAGAGUUAUUAGACAUAAAUUUUGUGCAAUUAAAUAUAUUUGAAGCACUAAAUUAAUACUUUUAUUUUUUGUUUCAUUAUAAUAAAUGUCUAUAGAAUUUAAUUUACAAUGCUGGGAAAAAAUAUAUAUUUAACUGCUCAUUUGAUUACACAUCACAUUUGGAAAAUGUACAUAACAUACAAAUAAAACUAAGAGGUCAACUAAAUUUAGCUACAUUCACACCCUUCGUUUUCUUCAAGCCAAUCGAAUAUUUUUAACCGCUCUCUACAAAAUUUCCGCUUGGAAGGUCAGGGGAUUGUCAAGUUUUCAUGAACUAUCUGAGUGGUCGGCAACCAUCCGCACUAAAUCUAAAUCAAAAUUUUAAUUUAAAAAGAAUUAUACUGAGGGUUCCGCAGGGUGAUGUCCGCCCCCCGCUACUAUUUAAACUCCUUCAUAAGCAGAUGAUUGUACAAUACUGACGUCAGGCAACGGAAUCGAUGGCAUAUAUUCGAAAGUAAACAGCUAUCUCACCGAUCUUUCUCGCUUCUUUUCUGAAAGGAGCCUGACACUCUCCCCCACUAAAUGCAUAGCGCUGGAUAAAGGAGUGCAGACUGUUUCUUAAUAUCACAGUCGAUGGCGUUGAAAUUCACAUACGAUCGCGAUUAAUGCCAAAGUACAGGGUCGCAACAAAAUCCUCAAGUCGCUAGCCAGCACCUCCUGGGAAAAGGACAAAGUAAUAUUACAGGAUGUAAAAUUAGGGAGGCCUGUAUGCUUCAAGGAAAUGUGCUCUGAUGUCUCUCUCUUUGGUCACAGAUCCGUAGACUAGUAACCCAAGCUGUCCAGAUUACCUUAGCCUGCAGUCAGCUGUAUAAAAUCUCACUAACUGUGUUAAGUUAUUCCUGGGAAGCAGAACAAGUUUCUUGAAUCGUUUUGUAUCAAACGUUUCAAGAGGUUUUUUCGGUAAAUGAUCCUUUCCCCUUUCCGUAACUCCUCACGUAGUGUGUGGGGAACCUCAGCAAAGAACGCCUAUUCCUUAUGGAGUUACUUACUCAUUCUACUUGCAACACUUUUUCGAGUGAAUUACGUUAAGUUGUUCGGUGAUAAGUUUCGCGAAAUAAAAACAAAUUUUGUAUACGUUAAAACGCUUAAUCGAUUUACUUAAAUAAUUAUCUUAUUGUUGCUUCAAUAUUCAGAAAUCGGUUAUACAUAUAUUUGUAUAAAAAAUUCUUUUAUAUAUAGAUUGAACCAAACAUAAAACAAAACAAAUACAACAAAAUUGGGAAACAAAUUGAAACGGUAAACAAGAAAACAGAAAUUCAAAUAUAGAGUUACUAUAACUGUUUUUUAGUUCAACACCUUUACGUUUCGCUUCCUAGAAUUUUUAUUUAUUUCUUUUUUUAUUAUUUAUAGCAACAAUUCUGAUUGGUAAAAAACAAAUACAAAUACAUUUUACAUACAGCAACGUACAAGCACAUAAAGAGUGUUACAUUAAUGCUUUUGUUUUUGCUUUUCAAUGCCCUUAUUGAAUUUCGAAUUUCUUCGGCCGAGUGUAAUUUGUUUUUUAAUUACAUUAGCAAUUCAAAAAAUUUUUUUUUGUAUUUUCAAAAUUUAAAUUUCUUUUAUUGCUACUAAAUUUAAAUUUGUUGUUGUUUUGUUUACUUAAUGUACCGCUAAUGUGCGCGUACGCGCUUUCGUGUAUAUAAAUUUGUAUGUAUUUUUGUAUUUUUGUGUAUGUAUGCGUUAUGAUCUAUAUAAUAUGUAAGUAUGUACAAUUUUAACGGCUACGCUUAAUAUUGAUUUGGUAUAUGCUUGACAAGAUUUUCACGUACGCUUCGUUUCUUUGUUUUCAUUCACUUCCACCUUCUGUUGCUCUUACUCACACAUCCGUUUUGCUGUUACUAUUCUUUGUUAUUAAUAUUUUUUUUUUUUUGUUUUUUAGCGCACUAUUUUUGAUUCUUUUUCUACUUUACGUUAUGUGUUGUUGUAUUCAACUACGGUGAAAUGCGUUGCAAUAUUUGCUUUAAUGGUUAUUUCGUUACUUUCUUCUCUAUUUGCUGUUUAUUGUUUUGUUUCUAACAUUUGUGAUGUGUAUUUUUGUGUAUGUGUGUGUUUCAUUUAGUGUUGUAGUUAUUGUUUUCAUUUUCAAUUUACAUGCGUUUACUUGUUGUUUGUUUCUUGCUUUAUUUGUUGGACAUUUGAUGACCACAAUUUUUCGAGCCUAAACCUAAAUUACAUAGCUAUGUAUAUAUGUAAAUAUAGUUGUUUAUAUGUAUGUAUGCUUGUAUAUUCAGUUAAACUUAAUUUUUAACCAUCAUCCAUAGAAUUAUACCACAAUCGCUUAAAUUUAAUUGUUGAUUUUAGUUUUUAUCCAAUAUACAUAUGUAUAUGUGUAUAUAUAUAUGUAUGUAUAUAUAUAUUAUCAAAUUUAUUUAUUUAUGAAAUGAUAUUGACAUUUGAGUAAAGUGUACUGGGUCCAAGUAACAACUCGUCCAUGUAUGCUACGCGCUUGCAUCCACCUCCCCAAACCGGUUGACGUGGUGAUAUUCAGUAUCUGCACUUGCCUCACAUACAUACAUACAAGCAUAUGUACAUUCCUGUACAUUUGUAAAUUUCUUGAUUUGUGUUUAAUUUUUUUGUUUUGCUUUAUUGAUGAUGGUGAUUUCUCAUCGCGGCGGGGAGUUAUUGGCUCAACAUAAACAUUUCUUUUACUUCUCAAUUACAAUUCACAACAUUUCCUA